ACAACAUGUUGAAACACCGCUUCCCCUACGACCACUGAAGUUAAGCAACGUCAAGCCAGUUCCGUACCUUCAUGGUUGACCACUUGCGAAUGCCAUGUGCUGUAA